GAAAUGCGAUACGUAAUGUGAAUUGCAGAAUUCCGUGAAUCAUCAAACUCUUGAACGCAACUUGCACCAGAGAGCUCUCUCUCUGGUACGCUUGUUCGAGUGUCGUUUAUUAUCAUCUUCCACCCGUCAAGUGCGGGUUGGUAGGACAUGGAAGUGAACCGUGAAUCUAUGGUUCUCUUUUCAAACCUAGAGGGUGUUUGAACUUACUCUCUGAUCGUUCACUUGGUGUUUGAGUGUAUCUUUAUUGAUCACUACCGCCAACAGAAGAUCGCACGGAAGUAAACUUCGACCUUUCACCCGAAGGAAUUGUCGGUUCAAUCCGACAAUAACGUUUAUCUAAACUUUCGACCUCGAAUCAAGUGAGACUACCCGCUGAAUUUAA
rnacentral:misc_RNA from 1 species